ensembl:processed_transcript Gm26728 predicted gene, 26728
UCGCCCGGAGUCCGCCUGGCGCGCGCAGUACCAGCGGCUCCCGGCGCUCUCGGCCGCCGGGACACUCUCCGCCCCGGACGCCGUCUCGGGCCUGAGAACAGGUGGCCUCGGAGAGGAGCGCGCCGACAGUCGCCUCUCACUCACCCAGAAGAUGAAGUUAAAUCCGAAGAGCAGGGUGAAGAGGCCCUUCUCAAUAUCCUUUACAGUUUUCUCUUCCUCACCCCUGCAGGAAGUUUCCUUAGCAUUCUUCAUUGCAAAAGCAAACCGUACUUAUUACAGAAACAUCAGAAAAUAUCAGAAAGCAAAAAGAAUAGGCCUUGGGUUUCAUUCCCAGCACACCUGUAACUCCAGUUCCAGAGGAUCUGACACCAUCUCCUGGCCUCUGUGGGCACCAGACAUGCAGAUCUCAUUAAGGAGCCCAGAGUCUUUGAUUCUAGAUCCUCUUGCCUUAUCCUUUUGAGAAUUGGAUUUCCUUCCUUCCUUCCUUCCUUCCUUCCUUCCUUCCUUCCUUCCUNNNNNNNNNNNNNNNNNNNNNNNNNCCUGCUUGAGUUCCAGUCCUGACUUCCUUUGGUGAUGAACAGCAGUGUGGAAGUGUAAGCCGAAUAAACCCUUUCCUCUCC